CCACCACAAUCCCACCCUCUGCCACCGCACAUUCUCCACCUUCUACUCCAGGGACUGGUACUUGAAGAAAAAGGACAAGGAUAUGCAGAAACCAACGAGACCCACAACCAAACCAAGAAAGGCCCCUGAGGGAGCUGACCCCGGCUAUGGCGCAGGUGCCUACUAGUGCCACUCCAGUGCCAUCUUCAGGACCCAUAUUUCUGACCAAUUAUAUUAGGCGAUCUGCAUGGAACUUGCACACCUUACUGAACCCAUGCCUAUCUACAAGGGUGCAAAUUUUGAAUGAUAUCGGUCAACAUCAAUCUCAGCUAAAGGUGGCUGAACUUUAACCUCCGUUUGUGCAGGCUGCGAUGCUGAAACUUGGCCCAGUUGCAGCACCUUUCACAUGUAUCAGGAUAAUAAAUUUUCAAUGCCCUACAACAACUUUCAAUUUCCAUCUAGAUGCCCCCUUAAUA